UAGGGAAUCUUCCACAAUGGACGCAAGUCUGAUGGAGCAACGCCGCGUGAGUGAAGAAGGUUUUCGGACCGUAAAGCUCUGUUGUUGGUGAAGAAGGAUAGAGGUAGUAACUGGCCUUUUAUUUGACGGUAAUCAACCAGAAAGUCACGGCUAACUACGUGCCAGCAGCCGCGGUAAUCGUAGGUGGCAAGCGUUGUCCGGAUUUAUUGGGCGUAAAGCGAGCGCAGGCGGAAGAAUAAGUCUGAUGUGAAAGCCCUCGGCUUAACCGAGGAAUUGCAUCGGAAACUGUUUUUCUUGAGUGCAGAAGAGGAGAGUAGAACUCCAUGUGUAGCGGUGGAAUGCGUAGAUAUAUGGAAGAAUACCAGUGGCGAAGGCGGCUCUCUGGUCUGCAACUGACGCUGAGGCUCGAAAGCAUGGGUAGCGAACAGGAUUAGAUACCCUUGGUAGUCCAUGC
rnacentral:rRNA from 1 species